UACGGAGGGUGCAAGCGUUAUUCGGAAUGACUGGGCGUAAAGCGCAUGUAGGCGGUUUGCUAAGUCUGAUGUGAAAGCCCUGGACUCAAUCCAGGAAGUGCAUUGGAUACUGGCAGACUAGAGUGUAGGAGAGGAGAGCGGAAUUCCUGGUGUAGAGGUGAAAUUCGUAGAUAUCAGGAGGAACAACAGAGGCGAAGGCGGCUCUCUGGACUACAACUGACGCUGAGAUGCGAAAGCGUGGGGAGCAAACAGG
rnacentral:rRNA from 1 species